GCACCUACCGAUUGAAUGGUUCGGUGAAAAUCUCGGACUGCGGCUUGGAUGCCUUCGGGCAACCAAGCUGUGGAAAGUUGUUUAAACCUCAUCAUUUAGAGAAAGUAAAAGUCGUAACAAGGUUUCCGUAGGUGAACCUGCAGAAGGAUCAAGAUCGGAAGAGCAAACGGCGGAACGACAGUCACGUGGCCGGAGAUCGGAAGCCGGCUGCGGAGUGAAAAAAAAAAACGUGGAUCUCCACUCUCGAACACACUACACUACAGGGUGUGAAGUAUCC
rnacentral:misc_RNA from 1 species